rnacentral:tRNA from 1 species
UCUAAAAUGGCAGAUUAAUGUAUUGGAUUUAAACCCCAAAAAUAAAGUUUAUACUUUUUUUAGAA